GAGUUCCACUAAUCAAGUUUU
rnacentral:miRNA from 15 species